rnacentral:RNase_P_RNA from 1 species
UAAACCGCCUACUAAUAGUGGGUAAGGGUGAAAACGUACGGUAAGAGCGUACGGCCUUAGAAGGUGACUUCUAGGUGGCUAAACCCCGUCUGGAGCAAGGCCAAAUAGGGAACUGAUGAAUGUUCGUAUCGUAUGUAGGUUCCGGGUAGGCUGCUUGACCCCAAUGGCAACAUUCCUAAUGUAGGGUACUAAUAGUACGGGGCUAGAUAGAUGAUUACCGCCUCUGAAGAGGUACAGAACCCGGCUUAUAGGCUUGAUUAUCGC